rnacentral:ncRNA from 2 species
CUAUAACAGCGGGGGUACUGGGCGUGUCGCCCGGUUGAGAUCAUACCCAAUGAACCUGAUGCGGAUAAUGCCGCCGAAGGGAAGCGAUGUCUCAGAUUG